rnacentral:rRNA from 1 species
GACGAACGCUGGCGGCGUGCUUAACACAUGCAAGUCGAACGGAAAGGCUCCAGCUUGCUGGAGUACUCGAGUGGCGAACGGGUGAGUAACACGUGGGUAAUCUGCCCUGCACUCUGGGAUAAGCCUGGGAAACUGGGUCUAAUACUGGAUAUGACCUUUCUCCUUAUGGGGUUUGGUGGAAAGUUUUUCGGUGUAGGAUGAGCCCGCGGCCUAUCAGCUUGUUGGUGGGGUGAUGGCCUACCAAGGCGACGACGGGUAGCCGGCCUGAGGGGGUGAUCGGCCACAUUGGGACGGAGAUACGGCCCAGACUCCUACGGGAGGCAGCAGUGGGGAAUAUUGCACAAUGGGCGGAAGCCUGAUGCAGCGACGCCGCGUGGGGGAUGACGGCCUUCGGGUUGUAAACCUCUUUCAGCAGGGACGAAGCGUAAGUGACGGUACCUGCAGAAGAAGCACCGGCUAACUAUG